rnacentral:rRNA from 1 species
UGGGGAAUAUUGCACAAUGGGCGCAAGCCUGAUGCAGCCAUGCCGCGUGUGUGAAGAAGGCCUUCGGGUUGUAAAGCACUUUCAGCGGGGAGGAAGGCGUUAAGGUUGAUAACCUUGGCGAUUGACGUUACCCGCAGAAGAAGCACCGGCUAACUCCGUGCCAGCAGCCGCGGUAAUACGGAGGGUGCAAGCGUUAAUCGGAAUUACUGGGCGUAAAGCGCACGCAGGCGGUCUGUCAAGUCGGAUGUGAAAUCCCCGGGUUCAACCUGGGAACUGCAUUCGAAACUGGCAGGCUAGAGUCUUGUAGAGGGGGGUAGAAUUCCAGGUGUAGCGGUGAAAUGCGUAGAGAUCUGGAGGAAUACCGGUGGCGAAGGCGGCCCCCUGGACAAAGACUGACGCUCAGGUGCGAAAGCGUGGGGAGCAAACAGG